AUGAAAUUCAAUUCCACAAAAGAGGCUUGGAACUUUUGGACAUGUUAUGGAGGUCAUAUUGGUUUUGAUGUAAGGAUAAAUUAUGAAAACAAGAGCAAACUCGAUGGAGUAAUCACCUCAGCAAGAUAUGUUUGUUCCAGUGAGGGCUACAGAAGAAAAGACAAAAGGAAUAAUAAUACAAAGCGUCCUCGUGCAGAAACAAGGACCGGCUGCAAUGUUCGAAUGGGAAUUACUAUAGACCGAGAAGCACGAAAUUAUGAGGUGCAUGAGUUAGUUGUUGAACACAAUCAUGUCUUGCAAUUACCUGGGACAAGCCACUUGAUGCCAUCACAGAGGAAGAUUUCAGCCUUGCAAGCAUUUGAAAUUGAAACAACAGAUGAUUCAGGAAUUGUACCUAGAAAAGCCCAUGAGUUAGCAAGUCGACAAGUUGGUGGUCCACUGAACCUUGGAUACACAUGUUGUGAUCAGAAAUGGUCAUUUUUGGCGCUGCACUUUUAUAUGAUGAGACAUUUGAAUCAUUCAAAUGGUUGUUCAACACGUUCCUAUCAGUGCAUAACAAAAAGCACUUACCUCAUAAGAAAAAAGACGAGGAUGGACCAAAUGUACUUGCUGAUCAAGCUGGAGGGAAGGCAUCGCCGGUGCAGUACAAGCUGA
rnacentral:rRNA from 1 species